rnacentral:rRNA from 1 species
UGGGGAAUAUUGGGCAAUGGGCGAAAGCCUGACCCAGCAACGCCGCGUGAAGGAAGAAGGUUUUCGGAUUGUAAACUUCUGUCCUCAGGGAAGAAGAAAGUGACGGUACCUGGGGAGGAAGCCCCGGCUAACUACGUGCCAGCAGCCGCGGUAAUACGUAGGGGGCGAGCGUUGUCCGGAAUGACUGGGCGUAAAGGGCGCGUAGACGGCUUUAUAAGUCUGGAGUGAAAGUCCUGCUUUCAAGGUGGGAAUUGCUUUGGAGACUGUAGGGCUUGAGUGCGGAAGAGGUAAGUGGAAUUCCCAGUGUAGCGGUGAAAUGCGUAGAGAUUGGGAAGAACACCAGUGGCGAAGGCGACUUACUGGGCCGUAACUGACGUUGAUGCGCGAAAGCGUGGGGAGCGAACA